CAGCAGAGCGCUGGUAAACACCAUGCAGAAAAGCCGUAUUGUGGGGUUACAAAGUCUGGGCUGUUUAAGGAGCUCUGUCAUUCCUUUUAAUGGAGCUCACUGACGCAGAUCUGGGUUCUGCCAGCCGAGGAAAUAUUGCUGCUGAGAAAAGGGUUAUUGAAACCCACAAACUAAAUAUUAUGAACAAGAAUCAAAUGGCAGGACAUUCUGGAGUGUAAUCCCUCCUGAUUUCAGGAGAAGGGGAGCGCAUUGGCAUGGAAUGAAGCUCCCUCCAGUCACCUGCUGCAAGACACAUUAUCCAGCUACCUAACCUUAAGGAUGAGACCCUAUCAAUAUUGCCUCUGCUUUUGUGAUCAGGGUAGUAGUGCAAUAUUGCUUAUAGGGUCUUUUCUUUUGAGGGUUAUUCUUCAUGGAGAGAAGAAAGCCACAGCAGGAAAAAAUUAUCCCAUGUGCCCACCGAGUUAAGGAAAAAAGUUGUGAAAUGCUGAGUGUUGUUAGAUAGGCAAGUAAUUGUACAGAGAUGUUAUUUGUGACAAAUAAUCGUGCUAUUCUGGUGACUCAGGUUGUGAGUAAUGGGCAUAUUUUUGAUGCUAUCGGAGGAUUCAAAACAGCCCCGUGUUUAAAACACAAGCAGUGAUUGAAACCAGAGAAACCCAUCAUGGUUCCUUUUUAAAAUA